rnacentral:rRNA from 1 species
UUUGAUCAUGGCUCAGAUUGAACGCUGGCGGCAGGCCUAACACAUGCAAGUCGAACGGUAACAGGAAGCAGCUUGCUGCUUUGCUGACGAGUGGCGGACGGGUGAGUAAUGUCUGGGAAACUGCCUGAUGGAGGGGGAUAACUACUGGAAACGGUGGCUAAUACCGCAUAACGUCGCAAGACCAAAGAGGGGGACCUUCGGGCCUCUUGCCAUCAGAUGUGCCCAGAUGGGAUUAGCUUGUUGGUGAGGUAACGGCUCACCAAGGCGACGAUCCCUAGCUGGUCUGAGAGGAUGACCAGCCACACUGGAACUGAGACACGGUCCAGACUCCUACGGGAGGCAGCAGUGGGGAAUAUUGCACAAUGGGCGCAAGCCUGAUGCAGCCAUGCCGCGUGUAUGAAGAAGGCCUUCGGGUUGUAAAGUACUUUCAGCGGGGAGGAAGGUGUUGUGGUUAAUAACCGCAGCAAUUGACGUUACCCGCAGAAGAAGCACCGGCUAACUCCGUGCCAGCAGCCGCGGUAAUACGGAGGGUGCAAGCGUUAAUCGGAAUUACUGGGCGUAAAGCGCACGCAGGCGGUCUGUCAAGUCGGAUGUGAAAUCCCCGGGCUCAACCUGGGAACUGCAUUCGAAACUGGCAGGCUUGAGUCUUGUAGAGGGGGGUAGAAUUCCAGGUGUAGCGGUGAAAUGCGUAGAGAUCUGGAGGAAUACCGGUGGCGAAGGCGGCCCCCUGGACAAAGACUGACGCUCAGGUGCGAAAGCGUGGGGAGCAAACAGGAUUAGAUACCCUGGUAGUCCACGCCGUAAACGAUGUCUACUUGGAGGUUGUGCCCUUGAGGCGUGGCUUCCGGAGCUAACGCGUUAAGUAGACCGCCUGGGGAGUACGGCCGCAAGGUUAAAACUCAAAUGAAUUGACGGGGGCCCGCACAAGCGGUGGAGCAUGUGGUUUAAUUCGAUGCAACGCGAAGAACCUUACCUGGUCUUGACAUCCACAGAAGAAUCCAGAGAUGGAUUUGUGCCUUCGGGAACUGUGAGACAGGUGCUGCAUGGCUGUCGUCAGCUCGUGUUGUGAAAUGUUGGGUUAAGUCCCGCAACGAGCGCAACCCUUAUCCUUUGUUGCCAGCGGUUAGGCCGGGAACUCAAAGGAGACUGCCAGUGAUAAACUGGAGGAAGGUGGGGAUGACGUCAAGUCAUCAUGGCCCUUACGACCAGGGCUACACACGUGCUACAAUGGCGCAUACAAAGAGAAGCGACCUCGCGAGAGCAAGCGGACCUCAUAAAGUGCGUCGUAGUCCGGAUUGGAGUCUGCAACUCGACUCCAUGAAGUCGGAAUCGCUAGUAAUCGUGGAUCAGAAUGCCACGGUGAAUACGUUCCCGGGCCUUGUACACACCGCCCGUCACACCAUGGGAGUGGGUUGCAAAAGAAGUAGGUAGCUUAACCUUCGGGAGGGCGCUUACCACUUUGUGAUUCAUGACUGGGGUGAAGUCGUAACAAGGUAACCGUAGGGGAACCUGCGGUUGGAUCACCUCCUUACCUUAAAGAA